rnacentral:tRNA from 1 species
GAGAGCAUAACUCAGUGGUAGAGUGCAUGCCUAACGUGCACAAGGUCCUGGGUUCAAUCCCCAGUACCUCCA